rnacentral:lncRNA from 1 species
AAGUACAUCUCAUUGCAUUGCUAACUGGUGGUAGAGCAGAGGUGGUACCUCUAGUCUCUGAAGAAAUCUGUGCCAUCCAGUUUCCUUCAGUCAUCCCAAAGCUAAGGAAUUUGCAUCACGGGCCAUAGCAGUUGGCUGAAACUCUCAUCUGAUGGUCUUUGAAGACUUAAUUUAUAGAAUCUGACCUUCACAUGAGUCCUGUGAAGAAAGAAAUUGUAAAGGAAUGCAAGGAUGAUUGAAUGAGCCCGCCAUCUUCCUUCUGAGCCCAGCAGAGGCUCCAGAGUGCUCUCCACACUGCAGGACCUCUGGAUCACCUCGGGAUCACAGUAUGUGUCUGAGCGUUUUGCCAUAAUGUGUAUGCAUGUGCACCACAUGUGUGCCUGGUGCCUGUGGAGGACAGGAACAUCAGAUCC